rnacentral:misc_RNA from 1 species
GAGCCAGCGAAUCCCAGCAAACCCGGCCUCAGUUCAGAUUGCAGGCUGCAACUCGCCUGCAUGAAGGAGGAAUCGCUAGUAAUCGCCGGUCAGCAUACGGCGGUGAAUUCGUUCCCGGGCCUUGUACACACCGCCCGUCACACCAUGGAAGCUGGUCACGCCCGAAGUCAUUACCUCAACCGCAAGGAGGGGGAUGCCUAAGGCAGGGCUAGUGACUGGGGUGAAGUCGUAACAAGGUAGCCGUACCGGAAGGUGUGGCUGGAUCACCUCCUUAAAGGGAGACCUAAUUCCGGUGGGAGACGAAAAAAAAGUAGUCCCAACCAAGAAUCAAUCCCAAAAGGUCGGAGCGAGGCGAAAUUGGCUUUCAAACUAGGUUCUGGGUUCACACAAGACCUGAAUCAGGAACAAGGGCUAUUAGCUCAGGUGGUUAGAGCGCACCCCUGAUAAGGGUGAGGUCCCUGGUUCGAGUCCAGGAUGGCCCACCUGCACAGGUGGCAAAAACAAAGAAAAAAAGCUCCGAAUCAGCACCUUAUCUUACUUAUACAGUAAGAGAGAAUGCUGGCUCUGAGUUCAGAGUCCAGAGGAACCUUGAAAACUGCAUAGAG